rnacentral:piRNA from 1 species
UGAAACCACAGCCACGUGCACAGACAGA